AUCUAGCUAAUGAGUUCCAAAUAGGAUGAAACCAACGUCCUGGAU
rnacentral:hammerhead_ribozyme from 1 species